ensembl:snRNA
UUGUCCAAAGAUGAAAGGACAAAAUGUUAGCACUUCCAUGAGGAUGGAAAAAGUCCCUGUGACCUUUACAACACAAAAUGGUUAUGGAACUGUCAUCUACUCUAUGGCAUCUUACCAUGUUUUAAC